rnacentral:rRNA from 1 species
UACGUAGGCAGCGAGCGUUGUUCGGAGUUACUGGGCGUAAAGGGUGUGUAGGCGGUUGCUUAAGUUUGGUGUGAAAUCUCCCGGCUUAACCGGGAGGGUGCGCCGAAUACUGAGUGACUUAGAGUGCGGGAGAGGAGAGUGGAAUUCCUGGUGUAGCGGUGAAAUGCGUAGAUAUCAGGAGGAACACCGGUGGUGUAGACGGCUCGUCUGGACCGUAACUGACGCUGAGACACGAAAGCGUGGGUAGCAAACAGG